rnacentral:lncRNA from 1 species
GUUGUACUAAUGACCUUACUGUUAACUUAGAAAAAUCUAAAAUAGUACAUUUUAGAACACAGUCUGUAUCUAGAUCAAAUUUUUCAUUUUUGUUUAAUGGUAACAAUAUUGAUAUUGUUUCCCAAUACACAUAUUUAGGUUUAUUGUUUACUGAGCAUUUAAGCUAUGAUAAUAUGGCAAAAGCAGUUGCUAAAGCCGCCAGUAGAUCGUUGGGUCUGUUAAUAUCUAAAUGUAAAGCUAAUGGUGGAUUUCAAUAUUGUACAUUUACAAAAUUAUUUGAUACACUUGUAUGGUCUGUAAUAGAUUAUGGUGCCUCUAUAUGGGGAACACGUGAUUUUUCAUGUAUAAAUAGUAUUAAAAAUAGAGCCAUGCGUUUUUUCAUGGGUGUAGGAAAAUACACGCCUAAUAUGUCUUUGUAUGGUGACAUGGGCUGGAUGCCAUGUAAAAUCAAACAGUGGACUAGUGUUUUUAGAAACUGGACACGUUUUAAUAAAAUGAAUGAUGAUAGAGUAAAUAAAAAAGUGUUUAUAUGGGGUAACACAUGUAAAAAAGUAAAAAAAAUUGGCAUUUUAGAGUAAAAAAUAAGUUUAAAGAACUUGAUAUGG